rnacentral:lncRNA from 1 species
AAAAGUCGAGCUCUCUCUCCCUUCAAGAAACCGCUAUCUCUCUUUUUCUUCUCUCAAAAUUGUCGGCCAUGCUCUGUUUCACUUCCUCUUGCUCAAAAUCCCAUCUCUCUCUCUCUCAAAGGAAACACAUAUCUCUCCUCACUCACGCCUCUCUCCAUCUUCAGCCGAGUUCUCUCUCUCAAAAAUCACUCACGCCUCUCUCCAUCUUCCUCUUCAGCCGAGUUCUCCCUCAAAAUCAGUCGAGCUCAGCCCCUUCCUCUUUCUUUCUCGAUCUGUUCGUCCGAGGCGAGAAGGACGAGCCCAAUUUCUCCCUGAUAUUGAAAUCGCCUCUGUCGCCGCUGCAACAUCCGG